GGAGAAUUACUCAAGAGGCUGAAGGGAACGGUCUUGAAAACCGUCAGGCGUGUAAAAGCGUGCGUGGGUUCGAAUCCCACAUCCUCCU
rnacentral:tRNA from 1 species